UCGGGCAUGGUGUACGGUACACCGCCUCCUCCUUUGAUAUUGAAUCGUGGGAGUUGUCCGGGGAUCGACUCCCCGUGUCCGAA